rnacentral:tRNA from 1 species
CUCCUAUAGUUAAGUGGAAAUAACAGGAACCUUCUAAGUUCUAGUCCCUGGUUCGAUUCCAGGUGGGAGUGC